UACAGAGGGUGCAAGCGUUGUUCGGAAUUAUUGGGCGUAAAGGGCGCGUAGGCGGUUUGUCGCGUCGGGAGUGAAAACCAGGUGCUUAACACCUGGCUUGCUUUCGAUACGGGCAGACUAGAGGUAUGCAGGGGAGAACGGAAUUCCUGGUGUAGCGGUGAAAUGCGCAGAUAUCAGGAGGAACACCCAUGGCGAAGGCAGCUCUCUGGUCGACAUCUGACGCUGAGACGCGAAAGCGUGGGGAGCGAACGGG
rnacentral:rRNA from 1 species